rnacentral:tRNA from 1 species
GUCUUAGCUCAGCUGGCAGAGCAGUUGCCUUGUAAGCAUCAGGUCGUAGGUUCGAAUCCUAUAGACG